AGUUUGGGCUCAGUGAGGGGCUGCUUGAAGGGUUUAGGGGUGCUCAGAAGGGUUUGGGCUAAUCAAAAGAAUCCAUCAGUGCCAGGAGGUCACACUGGAUCAUUUAUUAACCCUUUCUUACCCCCCUUCAGUGCUGGACAAGACAGUUUGGUCACUGUGGCCUUCAAAGAGCCACCAAAAUCCCCUCAAGGCACAAACCUGGCUGCUGUCCCUGCAGUGGGGCUGCCCUGGGGUGCAGCCCAUGGGUUUUGUUUGGGAUCCAUCCCAAAACCCCUUCCCAGGUGGGGCUGGGCCAGGAGCCCCCCAGGCCCGGGCAGGAGCCUGGGUCAGCCUCUGCUGCUGCCUCAGGCCCCAGCCAGGCACAGGGACACCCCCAGCAUGGUGAGCAGCAUUCCUGCCACAGCUCCUGGGGAGGAACAAAUCCAGAAUCAGUGAAUGGGGAAAAACUGGGAAUCUGCCCCAAACAACAACCUCCAGCUCCUGCAGUGUGAAAUUCCCCAAUUUCCUGCUUUUUCCUGACCACCUGAGCAGGGCACGUUGACUUUUGGGCCACUCCUUUUCCAUGGUGGGCAUUUUACUCAUGGUUAAACAUCUCCUGAGGGAAAUUUAAAUCCUUUUAGCUUUAAACAGCAAAUUCUGACUUUAAAUUCACCAGUCCUGCCCAAAAAUCUGUUUCAAUUCCCUUUCCCUUUUCAAUGGGAAAAAAAAUCCCAUUGAAAAGGGAAUUUUCCAUUCCCAUUUCAAUUCCCUGCAGCCAAAGCUGCUCUCACCCAGUUCAAGCCUUGUGGGGUAUUUGGAGUCUUCAGAUUAGAUUAUAAUUUAAAUUAUACAUUAAAAUCAAAUCACCCACAUUAAAAAUCAAAUUCCCACAUUACAAAUCAAAUAAUCUCAAUCCAAUAAAAGCUGAUUUCUUGAGGAAAUGCUGGAAGUGGGACUCACUUUUCCCCCCAAUGUCCUCUCCCAGGAUUUUCCCAGUCACCAAGGUCACAACCAAAGCCAGGGAGUUGCAGAGUGGCACUGCCACGGACAGGUCUGAAAUGCAAGAUCCAAGGGGAGAAAUUUGAAUUAUUUGGGAUUAUUCCAAGGCAGCUGUUUGGCUGAAUCACUGACCCAUAAAAUCCCAUCAAACCACCCCAAAACAAGCAGCAGGAGCUGACCUGUGGAGGCCAAGGUGAGGUAGAAGAGCAGAGAUCCAGCCUGGUUGAGCAGGAAGGGCACCAGGUGGUGCUGGGAGGAGGGCAGGAGGCCAUGGAUGUGACCACAACCUCCACCAGGAUUGGCAAAUUCGAGGCCAGUUGAGGCUGAGGAAGCGCAGCUCUGCCAGCAGCUGCCGCAGGCGGCCCCGGCCCUGCAGCUCCUCCAUGCCCGCCGCCGCUGCCCUCAGGAACGGCCCGGUACCGCCCCACAGCGCGGCCACCAGCGCCAGGGCCAGCGCCUGCCCUGCGGAACAGCGGGAUCAGAGCCACGGAGCCAGCUUGGCCCUUGGAACAUUGGGGUCAGAGCCAUGGAGCCAGCCCGGCCCUUGGAACAUUGGGGUCAGAGCCAUGGAGCCAGCCCGGCCCUUGGAACAUUGGGGUCAGAGCCAUGGAGCCAGC